GUGUAGGCCUCGGGGUGUCUUCCACCAGACUGCUGGUCUGUGGGACUGCUCUGGUUCAGUUCCCCCAGUGAUAGUGACACAGGCAUGGAGAGUCCAGCUUGUGUUUCCCUGUAGCUGGGUCUGGUGUUACUGGGCCUGGGUAGAGGUGGAGGAUAGGAUUGUUACUGGGCCUGGGUAGAGGUGGAGGAUAGGAUUGUUACUGGGCCUGGGUAGAGGUGGAGGAUAGGAUUGUUACUGGGCCUGGGUAGAGGUGGAGGAUAGGAUUGUAGCUGGGUCUGGGUAGAGGUGGAGGAUAGGAUUGUUACUGGGCCUGGGUAGAGGUGGAGGAUAGGAUUGUAACUGGGUCUGGUGUUACUGGGCCUGGGUAGAGGUGGAGGAUAGGAUUGUAGCUGGGUCUGGUGUUACUGGGCCUGGGUAGAGGUGGAGGAUAGGAUUGUAACUGGGUCUGGUGUUACUGGGCCUGGGUAGAGGUGGAAGAUAGGAUUGUAGCUGGUUCUGGUGUUACUGGGCCUGGGUAGAGGUGGAGGAUAGGAUUGUAGCUGGGUCUGGUGUUACUGGGCCUGGGUAGAGGUGGAGGAUAGGAUGGUAAACAGAGGCCUGACUUGGCAGACAUGUUUAUGUCUGUGUUGCCAUCUGUGACUGUGUGUGUUCUGUGUGUGUUUGUGUGUUCUGUGUGUGUGUUUGUUCUGUGUGUGUGUGUGUGUGUGUUCUCUGUAGUUUGGCCACAUCCCUGUGUCUCCGGUGUGUUUCCAUGUCUGGACUUCCGAUUGGAGCACUCACUCACUCACUCACUCACUCACUCACUCACUCACUCACUCACUCACUCACUCACUCACUCACUCACUCACUCACUCACUCACUCACUCACUCACUCACUCACUCCCUCUACUCUAUAUUCUCUCUCCCUCUACUCUAUAUUCUCUCUCUCUAAAUUUACCCCCCCCACACACUAAUGGUCAAAGCAUGUUGUGACCAUCUG
rnacentral:lncRNA from 1 species